CAGCCGCUCGGCGCUCAGUUCGAGUCGGACCUCCGUCGUAGUCGGAUUGUGUCGUUCUGCCGCGCUGUCUCUCUCUCUUUCUCUCUUUCUCCUUCUCUUUUUCUCUCAUUCCCUCCCGUGAGCACGCGCGCGCGCGCCACUGUGUGUAUGUGUGUCCCUCGUUCUCCCUCUGUGUCCCCCUUUUCCCCCGCAACGACAACGAGUUCCGCCCAGUGAAAAAGAGUCGAGCUUUCCUGCAAACAAGACGCGUCCUCGACGGCAGUUGUUUGUUUUCUGGUUUCGUGGUGUCGCGGUGACACAAACAGCGAAGUCGAAGAAGCGAGGGACCGCGCGUGCGGAGGAGAGGAGAGACAACGAGCCGCGUGUACCGUGCCACCCGUGUGGGUCUCGACGUUGUCGUGUCGUCGUCAUCGUUGUUGGUGCGAAGAGUUUCAGUCAACGGAAGGAGAAGUAGGUUAGCACACGGUGCCUUUCGCGUCCGCGGUAAAAUAUACCUGGUUCUCCGACUACUUCUCUCUAUACCUUUUACACGAAGCCGCGUAGUGUGUACCAUCCUGAUGUGGUGACGUUUAACCAACGCGCACUUCUUUUACGUAACGAAAGCGCGUUAGAACGUGCGCGUGCGCUCUAUACGUAAUCCGUCUUCGGUUUCUGUCCUUCUCGUUUGUCGGUUGCAAGCGAGAAUCUUCGAUCAUCGGUAGUCGCGUUCUCGUGUGUGCUCGUGUUCCAUCGGAUCGGCCGAUCGGUCAUUUUCGUCUCGUUAGCAGUGCCUCUGUGUGAAUUUCGUGCCGCAUUGCUUUCCCGUCUUUCAUGUGCGAUACACCGAUUUCGGAGUGUGGUUCGCGCGAUUUUCGCGCUUUCGACGCAAUUUGUUUCGAUAAUACCAAACGACUCGAUUCGAUACGAUUCGAUUCGUUGCAAGAGUCGAUUUCUUUCGUCUUGACCAAGUUCACGGAACAAAACGCGCGCCUGUUCCGCGAACACGUCAGUUCUCUUUCAACUAUCUUAGCAGUGUGAUCGAAAAUAACGUUCGUGCUUUUACAGUAAGGAGUUUUCUUCGUUUGGAUACAUAACCAGGCGAUUAUAUACGUACGCACAAACAUUGGAAACCGGUGCUAUUCAACCAGCAAUUUCUGCAUCGAGUACUCUUCAUUGAUUCAAUUUCGUAUUGUUUUGUGGUGUUUCGUGAGGUGUGUGUUCAAACCUACAAGUGGUGCGACUGUUUUAAGUGUGAUUUAAAUCAGUGAUUUGAAAGAAAAGCCGAUUAUUUGGCAAAUAAAAGAAAAAGAAAAGCAUAAAGUGAAAGUUUUAUCAGUGCAGUAUUACGCUAUUCUUUGUGGAUUAUUGGAUAUACUAUACACUACUCUGCGACUUGCCGACGGAGCGCAACAUUGCGGCUCACAAUUUAUGAUGCAGAGACAAAGCCGGAGUAGCUCGGAGGUGGAGGUUGCGCUUAUGCGCCCCGUAAGCACGGCUGGCUAAUAGCACCACGGCCCAUCCCUGACACCCUACAGCCACACCAGAUCAGCAGUCGGCGUGACAUGGAUGUGAGCUUCACGAACGUAUUAGAGGGGGCUCGCCAGUACUUCCAGGGACUGCCGGUACCGAGUACAGGUAGUGCGACCGCGUCAGCGGAUCACGGUCUCGCGACAUCAACGAGUUCCGCCUCGUCCGUAUC